UAAACAUUAUGUCAAAAAAUCUAUCUCAAAAAUAGAUUUAGUAAUAGGCCUGCAUUUCUACAUAUGCGGGCUUCGCCGCAUAGAAACUGGAUCCGAAUUAUAAUAUUGUGAUAGAGGUCCCCAUAAAACUUCCCCCCACAAUAAUUCUACUUUAAUGUGAGAAAAAUAAUGGGCACUAACUCUUCCAUUCAACAUUCCACCGCGCAGGAAAUCAUAGCACUAACUAUUCUUCUAUUAAACAAUAAAAAUAGCUUUGACGAGAUGAGAUGAAUGGCUCAAUGUAAGAUCGCCUCGGCCGAGGGACUCUACUGUUGGUCGGGGCGUGUUAUUAGGAUACUAUAGAAGGCUAAAAAGUCCUCUUUUUUUAAAAAAAAUUAUAAUAAAUAUGA
rnacentral:lncRNA from 1 species